GACGAACGCUGGCGGCGUGCUUAACACAUGCAAGUCGAACGGAAAGGCCCUGCUUUUGUGGGGUGCUCGAGUGGCGAACGGGUGAGUAACACGUGAGUAACCUGCCCUUGACUUUGGGAUAACUUCAGGAAACUGGGGCUAAUACCGGAUAGGAGCUCCUGCUGCUUGGUGGGGGUUGGAAAGUUUCGGCGGUUGGGGAUGGACUCGCGUCUUAUCAGCUUGUUGGUGUGGUAGUGGCUUAGCAAGGCCUUGACGGGUAGCCGGCCUGAGAGGGUGACCGGCCACAUUGGAACUGAAAUACGACACGGACUACACCGGGAGGCAGCAGAGGGGAAUAGUGCACAAUGGGCGGAAGCCUGAUGCAGCACCGCCGCGUGGGGGAUGACGGCAAUCGGGUUGUAAACCACUUUCGCCUGUGACGAAACGUGAGUGACGGUAAUGGGUAAAGAAGCACCGGCUAACUACGUG
rnacentral:rRNA from 1 species